CUCCUGAGUGUUUCCAGGCCGAGUGUGAAGCAACAGAAAGGAGAAUUGAGUUCAGCAUUCAAUGUGACAGUGUGUACAUGCUAUAAAGUGUGUUGAUGAACAAAUACGAGUCCACUAUCGUUGUCUAUGUUAAUUAGAUUCCAGUAGUUUAUUUGUUAAUGUGGUGACUGAGAACAGAAAGACAAGAGAGACUAGAGUUGAUAACAAAAUAUCUUUAUUGAUUCCAACCAAUGUAACAAGCUUUCUUGUCUAGUAUCACAUAUUUGCAUAGUUAACGCUGCGCUGUUUCAAGUGCAGUCUGGAAUAAACGAUCCCACAGAUAAUUUAAAUCCCUGUGUCUAGUGUUGUCACUAAUAUUCACACCGGGCCACAGAGAAUUUUGGUACCAGGAGUGGGGUUCCAUUGCUAGUGUAGAUAGGAUAGCACUAAAACAUAGACAACGGUAGUGGGAGAAACUGGUCGUGUGCUGACGCCUGGGAGUUCGACGGUGUGGAGUGUGACGUGCCUGGAGGGUCUGCGGAGAAGCAAGGGACCAGCUUUGGGAACGCAGACGGGUGCCUAAUCGUCGACAACGAAUUGGCCUUUCAGGUUGGCUGGCAUUGACUGUGACUGUUUCUGACUCAGAGCCAUU